ACCCCACCCCUCCCCCUUUUGCUUUCGCUAGCGGGGGAAUAAAGCUAUAGGAUCCUAGUACUGCGAGUGAGAGGGAAAGCUCAAAUUUAAAAUCUGAUAGCCUCCGGCUGUCCGAGUUGUAAUUUAGAGAAGUGUUACCCGUGUUGGACCGUGUACAAGUCUCCUGGGAUGGAACGUCCUAAAAGGUGAAAAUCCCCUCCUUUAACCCGGACCACCAUUCCUUUUUGUGGCCUCUCCAAAAAUCCAAUUUUUUUGGAAAUCCACCCUUAAUUGGUUGGUAAUUUCCUCUUAAGGUUAAUUUUUGGGAAAAAACCCUUUUCAACCAUUUCCCCGGGGGGAAAAUUAAAAAAAAUUUUUCCAAAAAAUUUUACCUUUUAUUGAAAUUUUCAAACAGGUAAACCUUUAAUUCCCCCCCCUUCCCCCGGCAACACCCCCCUUUUUGUGGGGGUUUCCUGUUUAAAGGGGGUUCUCACUUUUAAAGCGGAAAACCCCGAUGAAUUUGGCCCCCUCCCAACGGGUAAACCCCCUGUUUAAAC
rnacentral:rRNA from 1 species